CACUUUGCUCCCUCAGCUCAACCAUAAGUUCGACCGCUCUAAGGUACCAAUAGCAGAAAUUUUGAAGGAGACAUGUGAUUGUAUAAAAAAAUUAGAGAGGGAGAUAGACGAUCUAAGUGAGAGGCUAUGGGAGCAGCUCGAGUCAAUGGGAGUUGACUUAGAAAUGGUCAAAAGAGGACUGAAUUGAGAUAAACUAAGAUCUCACGAAUUGGAGACACAACCCUAAGGUCGAUCUCGUCUUCAAGCUAUGGCCGAUAGAGAACCCGUGCUUCAUCUGAAGUUUCUCUUCUUUCACCUAUUUGGUGGCUUGGAUUUCUUCUUGUAUUGGACUUUUUUUCUUUAUUUAGUCUUUGAACUACGUGAUCUAUUAUGUUUGUCCAUGAUCUUUUAUAUUUGUUCUUGUAAUCUAA